rnacentral:rRNA from 1 species
GACGAACGCUGGCGGCGUGCCUAAUACAUGCAAGUCGAGCGAGUCUGCCUUGAAGAUCGGAGUGCUUGCACUCUGUGAAACAAGAUACAGGCUAGCGGCGGACGGGUGAGUAACACGUGGGUAACCUGCCCAAGAGAUCGGGAUAACACCUGGAAACAGAUGCUAAUACCGGAUAACAACAGAUGAUGCCUAUCAACUGUUUAAAAGAUGGUUCUGCUAUCACUCUUGGAUGGACCUGCGGUGCAUUAGCUAGUUGGUAGGGUAACGGCCUACCAAGGCGAUGAUGCAUAGCCGAGUUGAGAGACUGAUCGGCCACAUUGGGACUGAGACACGGCCCAAACUCCUACGGGAGGCAGCAGUAGGGAAUCUUCCGCAAUGGACGCAAGUCUGAUGGAGCAACGCCGCGUGAGUGAAGAAGGGUUUCGGCUCGUAAAGCUCUGUUGUUGGUGAAGAAGGACAGGGGUAGUAACUGACCUUUGUUUGACGGUAAUCAAUUAGAAAGUCACGGCUAACUAAGUG